CCUGCCCUGUGACAAUGUUUAACGGCCGCGGUAUUUUGACCGUGCGAAGGUAGCGUAAUCACUUGUCUUUUAAAUGAAGACCUGUAUGAAAGGCAUCACGAGAGUUUAACUGUCUCUAUUUUCUAAUCAAUGAAAUUGAUCUUCUCGUGCAGAAGCGAGAAUAUUACCAUAAGACGAGAAGACCCUAUGGAGCUUCAAACACUUAAAUUAAUUAUGUAAAAUUAUAAUCCCAAGGGGAAAAAUCAUUCAUAUAAUAUUCCUAAUUUAACUGUUUUUGGUUGGGGUGACCAAGGGGGAAAGAAAAUCCCCCUUAUCGACCGAGUACUAAAGUACUUAAAAAUUAGAACGACAGUUCUGAUUAAUAAAAUAUUUACCGAAAAAUGACCCAGAUUUUUCUGAUCAAUGAACCAAGUUACCCUAGGGAUAACAGCGCAAUCCUUUCCCAGAGUCCCUAUCGCCGAAAGGGUUUACGACCUCGAUGUUGGAUCAGGACAUCCUAAU
rnacentral:rRNA from 1 species